rnacentral:lncRNA from 1 species
UACUUCUGCAGAUCCCAUUAGCUUUAAUCCCACCGACCAAAUAUCAGAAAGCAUUGCCUCUGUCAUGUGGAAGAGGAACCAGAAUAUUUGGUUGUUGAUACUGGACCGUAGUCAUCCACAUGUGCCCUCUUCACCAUUGCGCUUUUUCCUUUCUUUUUUCUACUGCUUAUCCCUUUUCCACAGAUCACAAUAUUCACUGCCACACCCU